UAUCAGAUUCCCUUAGCAAAGGGACACCUCGUUGGUGGUAUUGUUCUUAUAUCAGUCAGGGGCAGAGCAGAUGGCAGUUCUUUGUUCAUCCUAGAUUGAUACCCAGCUUGGUGGAGAAAGCUGUUUUAUGCCUAGGACUCAUAA